rnacentral:rRNA from 1 species
GGCAGCCAAGUCGUGAGGCGGAGCUAAUCCCUUAAAGCCAUUCUCAGUUCGGAUUGUAGGCUGAAACUCGCCUACAUGAAGCUGGAGUUACUAGUAAUCGCAGAUCAGAAUGCUGCGGUGAAUGCGUUCCCGGGUCUUGUACACACCGCCCGUCACACCACGGAAGUUGGGGGCGCCCGAAGCCACUUAGCUAACCCUUUUGGGAAGCGAGUGUCGAAGGUGAAAUCAAUAACUGGGGUGAAGUCGUAACAAGGUACC